GAUGAACGCUAGCUACAGGCUUAACACAUGCAAGUCGAGGGGUAACGAGAGGAAAGCUUGCUUUCCUUGUCGACGACCGGCGCACGGGUGAGUAACGCGUAUCCAACCUGCCCCCAACUAAGGAAUAACCUUGCGAAAGUAAGACUAAUACCUUAUAAUUUCCUCAGAUGUCAUCUGACGAGGAAUAAAGAUUUAUCGGUUGUGGAUGGGGAUGCGUCUGAUUAGCUUGUUGGCGGGGUAACGGGCCACCAAGGCAACGAUCAGUAGGGGUUAUGAGAGGAAGGUCCCCCACAUUGGAACUGAGCCGCGGUCCAAACUCCUACGGGAGGCAGCAGUAGGGAAUAUUGGGCAAUGGGCGAAAGCCUGAACCAGCCAAGUAGCGUGCAGGAUGACGGCCCUAUGGGUUGUAAACUGCUUUUAUACAGGAAUAAAGUUAGCCACGUGUGGUUAUUUGUAGGUACUGUAUGAAUAAGGACCGGCUAAUUCCGUGCCAGCCGCCGCGGUAA
rnacentral:rRNA from 1 species